UACGUAGGGUGCAAGCGUUGUCCGGAAUUAUUGGGCGUAAAGAGCUCGUAGGCGGUUUGUCGCGUCUGCUGUGAAAAUCCGGGGCUCAACCCCGGACUUGCAGUGGGUACGGGCAGACUAGAGUGUGGUAGGGGAGACUGGAAUUCCUGGUGUAGCGGUGAAAUGCGCAGAUAUCAGGAGGAACACCGAUGGCGAAGGCAGGUCUCUGGGCCACUACUGACGCUGAGAAGCGAAAGCAUGGGGAGCGAACCGG
rnacentral:rRNA from 1 species